rnacentral:rRNA from 2 species
AUGUAGUAAGGGAAAAUAAUGAUAUUACCUUAUUUAUAGUGUUGUCUAAAGUUGGUGCCAGAAGACUCGGUAAGACCAAGAACGCGAACGUUAGUCAUCAUAAACAGGCGUAAAGGGUUUGUAGGCUGCUUUUAAAUUUUUAUUCAUUUUUAUUAAUUUCUCUUAAGCCCUUAAGUUUUAUUAAUAUAAAAUAUAAUGUCAAGAGCUAGAAUCAAAAAGAAGUUAAAAAGUAUAAUACUUAGAGGAGGGAUAAUAUCCUUAGAUCCUAAGGGGAAUACUAAAGGUGUAAACAACUAACUAUCAAUGAUUGACGCUGAGACACGAAGGUGAGGAUAGGAAAUAGGAUUAGAUACCCCGGUACCCCUCUCUGUAAACGAUGAAUGGUAGUCAUUAUAAUGUUAUUGGUGAUAAAGUUAACACGUUAACCAUUCCGCCUUGGGAGUACUACUGCAAAGUUGAAAACAAAAAAAUUAGUCGGUCUCGAAGCAAACGAAGUGAAG